ACACAUCUCAAAGAACAACCAUUAGAGACAGGUCCACUUGGGGAGUCUCCCACAGCUGGUACAUGAAUCUGGCCAUGUCCGGAGACAGCAAACACUGAUGGUGGUCAGGGAAGAAUUGCUCAGCUGAUCUGCCAAUGAAUUCUGCACUCCUGGAAGCUUCUAAAAACUCUGAGCUGAGAACCUCUUGCGAUCCACCUCCAUGAUAGGUUUCUCUAGGACUGGACAAUCAGAUCCUUAACUAUUCUGCUGACAAUGCACAAGAAGGAAUAUAAUCCUGCUCUUUCUCCCACCGCUAUAUAAGCCCUGUAGUAUUAGCACAAGUAGUAAAAAUCUAUUUUGUUACUGAAGUGAGCACCUAUCAUAGAAUAUACACCAUGUGCACCUCUGAGUAAAAUGGAGCCAUUUUCACACAGCCUUUUCAAGUACCAACCACACAUUAAUUGAAUACACCUGAUUUUCAGAUGGACGGCACCUGGAAACUGGGAGGAUUCAUCAGCUGCAAGGAGACAAAGGGAUUGAUUGCUGGUCUGAAUGCAAGUUGAAAGAUUCAUGGAGACGGCAAAACUGAAGACUCCCUGUCCAAGCAUGGAGCUGAGGAACCAAUGUGUCAUUACACACGAUGGGUGCUGUGUACCAUUACUGUCACAGAAUUUCUGCCAUCAUUACAUACAAACUAGGAGGCCUUGUAGAUGAGCUGAAGCCUUCUUAACUUUUCUGGGAUUGUUUAGUAGAGAGUCAAGCACUACAAUAAGGCCUUGAAUCUACAAAAAUCUCUUCUUGGACAGAAUUUUUUCUACGUUUCUUCUAACUUUUGUUUCUCUCUCUAGAACUAUUUCUAUUAUACAUUUUUCAA